AAUUUUGGACCAUGGGGGCAACCCUGAUCCAGCCAUCCCGUGUGUGCGAUGUAGGCCUUCGGGUUGGAAAGCACGUUUGGCAGGGAGGAAAAGACUCUGGCUAAUAUCUUGAGCUGCUGACGGUACCUGCAGAAUAGUCACCGGCUAACUACGUGCCCGCAGCCGCGGUAAUACGUAGGGUGCAAGCGUGAAUCGGAAUUACUGGGCGUAAAGCGUGCGCAGGCGGUUCGGCAAGAAGGAUGUGAAAUCCCAGGACUUAACCUUGGAACUGCAUUCUUAACUGCCGGGCUAGAGUAUGUCAGAGGGGGGUAGAAUUCCGCGUGUAGCAGUGAAAUGCGUAGAGAUGCGGAGGAAUACCGAUGGCGAAGGCAGCCCCCUGGGAUAAUACUGACGCUCAUGCACGAAAGCGUGGGGAGCAAAC
rnacentral:rRNA from 1 species